rnacentral:lncRNA from 1 species
CGAGGAGCGCAUGUUGGCGCCGUUGCUACGCUCGAGCAGUGUAGGCGGCGCCACGGUCGAGGAGGAAGCGUGAAAGAGAGGAGAAACGAGGCGGAGUGAAGGCGGAGGAGGAAAGUGUUACUACUUUACGAAGUUUAAGGGGCUUUAUUCGGCCGCUGGGCUCUAUGGGAGUGUGCGCUCUUGUUGAAUGUCUUUCUCUAUGAUGUUCAGUCGAAGCCGGCGGUACAACGCCUCUGACUGACGAAAAAGCAGCCGUGAUGGUAUUCUCGUGCUCACAACUCGCGAUCAACCGAUCUCAGGAAACUGUCCGGUGAUGUGGCAGAUUCUCAAAAACUAACGGACAUAUUUCUUUUUGCACUUUGGCGCCAGGGUUGGAUCCACCCAUGCGUAGCAAACGCUACGUGGCCAAAGUCAGCGUGAUGGUAUCCUCGAAGUCCCUGGCUGACGACUACCGGAACGUCACCGUCAGCGUCGAGCUGACGAAGGUCUUGCGCAACAACCCGCUGCUGCAUUUCUACAUAACGGACGAAGACAUGUACAGCUAUCAGUGUGCAAAUAGAAAAUCGUGAGGACAAGCAUCCUUACCAUUCAAGCACAGCUUCAUGAAGGUUACGAAUGCCUGGCGUGCUACCUGAUCAAGAUGAAGUACAAGCGAGAGCGACACUGAAAGUUCAUCUGUAUACGACUCAAUAAAUGCACCGGGCGUUCUUUCGA